rnacentral:piRNA from 1 species
GCAGGACUGCAGGGCUGCUUGAGGGC